rnacentral:tRNA from 1 species
CGGGGCGUGGCGCAGGUUGGUAGCGCGUCCGCUUUGGGAGCGGAAGGUCGCAGGUUCAAAUCCUGUCGCCCCGA